rfam:Comamonas aquatica DA1877 out_5, whole genome shotgun sequence.
CCUUGUGUACGACCACAAGUAGCCUAAGAAAGCAUGCAGGAGCAGUAAUGCACCUGUGUGAAGCCUUUCUGACAAUGUACCCCCGCGCAAGCAGCAAAAGUUACCCGUGAGGGUGCUCUUGGACACCGCCAGCAGAAGGAGGUGGAGGGG